GACGAACGCUGGCGGCGUGCUUAACACAUGCAAGUCGAACGGAAAGGCCCUGCUUUUGUGGGGUGCUCGAGUGGCGAACGGGUGAGUAACACGUGAGUAACCUGCCCUUGACUUUGGGAUAACUUCAGGAAACUGGGGCUAAUACCGGAUAGGAGCUCCUGCUGCAUGGUGGGGGUUGGAAAGUUUCGGCGGUUGGGGAUGGACUCGCGGCUUAUCAGCUUGUUGGUGAGGUAGUGGCUUACCAAGGCUUCGACGGGUAGCCGGCCUGAGAGGGUGACCGGCCACCUUGGGACUGAGAUACGGAGCAGACUCCUACGGGAGGCAGAAGUGGGGAAUAUUGCACAAUGGGCGGAAGCCUGAUGCGACAGCGCCGCGUGCGGGAUGACGGCCUUCGGGUUGUAAACCGCUUUCGCCUGUGACGAAGCGUGCGUGACGGUAAUGGAUAAAGAAGCACCGGCUAACUACGUG
rnacentral:rRNA from 1 species